rnacentral:rRNA from 1 species
UGAGGAAUAUUGGUCAAUGGGGGCAACCCUGAACCAGCCAAGUCGCGUGAAGGAUGAAGGUCUUAUGGAUUGUAAACUUCUUUUACACGGGAAUAAAGCGGGGGACGUGUCCCUCUUUGCAUGUACCGUGUGAAUAAGGAUCGGCUAACUCCGUGCCAGCAGCCGCGGUAAUACGGAGGAUCCGAGCGUUAUCCGGAUUUAUUGGGUUUAAAGGGUGCGCAGGCGGGAUGUUAAGUCGGCGGUGAAAUUUUGCAGCUCAACUGUAAAAGUGCCUUCGAUACUGGCCUUCUUGAGUGUGGAUGAAGUAGGCGGAAUUUGUGGUGUAGCGGUGAAAUGCUUAGAUAUCACGAGGAACUCCGAUUGCGCAGGCAGCUUACUAAGCCACAACUGACGCUCAUGCACGAAGGCGUGGGGAUCAAACA